rnacentral:rRNA from 1 species
AGUGAACGCUGGCGGUAGGCCUAACACAUGCAAGUCGAACGGCAGCACAGUAAGAGCUUGCUCUUACGGGUGGCGAGUGGCGGACGGGUGAGGAAUACAUCGGAAUCUACUUUUUCGUGGGGGAUAACGUAGGGAAACUUACGCUAAUACCGCAUACGACCUACGGGUGAAAGCAGGGGAUCUUCGGACCUUGCGCGAUUGAAUGAGCCGAUGUCGGAUUAGCUAGUUGGCGGGGUAAAGGCCCACCAAGGCGACGAUCCGUAGCUGGUCUGAGAGGAUGAUCAGCCACACUGGAACUGAGACACGGUCCAGACUCCUACGGGAGGCAGCAGUGGGGAAUAUUGGACAAUGGGCGCAAGCCUGAUCCAGCCAUACCGCGUGUGUUAAGAAGGCCUUCGGGUUGUAAAGCCCUUUUGUUGGGAAAGAAAAGCAGCAGGUUAAUACCCCGCUGUUCUGACGGUACCCAAAGAAUAAGCACCGGCUAACUUCGUG